rnacentral:tRNA from 1 species
UGGCUUAGAUGGUAAGGCAUCUGCCUGCAAUGCUGGAGACCUGGGUUCGAUUCCUGG